rnacentral:rRNA from 1 species
CCUACGGGUGGCAGCAGUGAGGAAUAUUGGUCAAUGGACGGAAGUCUGAACCAGCAAUGCCGCGUGCAGGAAGACGGCUCUAUGAGUUGUAAACUGCUUUUGUACAAGGGUAAACCUGAAUACGUGUAUUCAGCUGAAAUUACUGUACGUAUCAGGAUCGGCUAACUCAGUGCCAGCAGACGCGGUAAUCCGGAGGUUCCAAGCGUUACCCGGAUUGAUUGGGUUUAAAGGGUGCGUAGGCGGAUUGAUAAGUUAGAGGUGAAAUGGCCGAGCUUAACUCGGGAACUGCCUCUAAUACUGUUGGUCUAGAGAGUAGAUGCGGGAGGCGGAAUGUAUGGUGUAGCGGUGAAAUGCUUAGAGAUCAUGCAGAACACCGAUUGCGAAGGCAGCUUACCAAUCUAUAUCUGACGUUGAGGCACGAAAGCGUGGGGAGCAAACAGGAUUAGAUACCCCAGUAGUC